UACAGAGGGCCCAAGCGUUGUUCGGAUUUACUGGGCGUAAAGGGUGCGUAGGCGGUCGGGCAAGUCUGAUGUGAAAUCUCACAGCUUAACUGUGAAACUGCAUUGGAUACUAUCAGGCUCGAGGAAUGGAGGGGAGACUGGAAUACUUGGUGUAGCAGUGAAAUGCGUAGAUAUCAAGUGGAACACCAGUGGCGAAGGCGAGUCUCUGGACAUUACCUGACGCUGAGGCACGAAAGCCAGGGGAGCAAACGGG
rnacentral:rRNA from 1 species